AUGUUUGGACUAUUUUUUUAUUCAUGAAUUCUAGAUUUUGUUCAAUUUUCUGUCUCAACUCUGGAAGUUUGCAGCAGCACUUAUUUUAUGGACCCAGGUUCAAAUUUGGGUUCAAUAUUGUCAACAGAAGUUGUUUAUCUUGACCUGUGCAUUUUGUCAUUCUUUAACAAAAUGUGAGCAGAAGUAAUUCAGAAGCAAAAGACACUGUAUGAUCAAUAACAGUGAUGACCAUCAACCUUCUGCAGAAUUUGUGAUUCGUAGAAGCAUGGCAAUAUUUAGACUCCGUAGAAGUGAAAGACUUUGUAUGAUCAUUAACAACAGUGGCCAUCAAUUGACAUGAACAGGCAGUACUCCAGCAAACUGUUGCAUAAUUUUAGAAAUUCAGAAACUUUAAAAAUUCAGCACACACUUGCAUAAUUCAGAAACUUUUUGACGCAGUACUUUUAGAAAUUCAGAAACAUGGAGCAAGCAAGAAGCAAAAUUUGAUAAACUUAUGUUUACCUUUCUAUUUCAGAGCGGUUUAGACAUGGUAUUGGCUGAUGAUAAAUUCGCUACAAUUGUUGCAGUAAGAUUCACCCUGUGUCGCAGUGGCUUAUAAUUGAUGAAGCUGAUCGCAAACUUGUGCCAAAUUUUGAGGAGGACAUGAAACAAAUAUUUAAGUGCCUCCCUCGGGCUCUCUGCUCGAAAUGUCUGCUGAGCAUCUUCUUCAUUGAGCCAAAAUCAAUUGCUUGGUGCAGUUUCAGAUUGUUCUUACUAUCCAAUACUAAUUUAUAAAUGGCUACAAUCUCAAGAAGGUUCCGCCGAUUCUAGAAGCACACGGCUGAAUGGAAUCCAACGGAACCAAUGCUACAUCAGGGUGCACUGUUCAAGCAUUUUGAUUGGCCCGGGAGAAAUAAGGACACUGCAUCAGACAACCUUUUGCUUACUAACCUCUUAAAUAUUUGAAGUGAGUUCCAGUUCUUGAUUUUUCAAGAAACUGAAGAGGAGCGUUUGAGGAAAGAGGAGAAGCGGGAGGCACGGGAAGCAAAGAAUUGGAGAAGGGAGAGGGAAAAGGAGAAGUUUCUCAAGAAGAGUACUAGAAACGCCUUACCAGUAGGCUUUCGUUGCAAUGUUUUCAUGGAUUAUUGGAUGAGUCUUCCUCUUGAUUGUUUUUUCAGGUUCAGUAACAUGAUGACAUCCGAUUAAUAUCUUGCUGUUCAGGAGGUUUUGACUAUAUGAAAAAUAUUGUUUUCUUGCCAGUGAAGAUUAGCAUGUUUGUACGGCUACCCUAGAGUAAAUUGCCGUAUUCAGAUCAAUUGUUGGAUUAUGUCAUGAACUGCUAAAAGAUAGUGAUGAUCCCUUGAGUCUAUUAUAAGUACCAUUUUAGUUUGA